rnacentral:rRNA from 1 species
AGCGAACGCUGGCGGUAGGCCUAACACAUGCAAGUCGAACGAACCUUCCGUGGUUAGUUGCGGACGCGUGAGUAACACGUCGGAACGUUCCUUUAUACUCCGGAUUAUACAUGUUAACGUGUGCUAAUACCGAGUGUGUCACUCUGAUGCAAGAUUUAACGUCUGUAGAACGGCCGGCGUCUGUUUAGCCAGUUGGUUGUGGUAAUGGCUCAGCAAGGCUACGAUCAGUAGCUGGUCUAAGAGGAUGAUCAGCCACAUCGGUACUGAGACACAGCCCAAACUACUACGGGAGGCAGCAGUGGGGAAUCUAGCGAAAUGGGCGAAAGCAUGACGCAGCCAUGCCGCGUGAAUGAUGAAGGUCUGAGGAUUGUGAAAUUCUUUAACAGGGGACGAUAAUGACGGUACCCGGAGAAGAAGCACCGGCUAACUUCGUG